AGGCAUUUGACCUCUCUGAGCCUCAAUUUCCUCACACAUCAAGUGGUCAUGACGAGUUUGUAGGGUUGUGGUAAUUAAAUGACCUUUAACCAGUGGGCCUUACUCUGUCCUGGAACAUGGCCCGUCGUCAGGGUUUCACAGAGAUGCGUGACUCUCUUAGGGCCAAUGUGACUUAACGGUGAGACAUAAAAUACAGAGCACCCAGUAAGCAGGGAGGAAGUUUGGAAGAAGAUAGAGAUCCGGGGACCCCCAGAUGAUUAGGAAGAGCCGGCCUAGAAGGAUGGGGAGGGUUUGCAGAGUCAGAGGGACAGUCAGAGAGGCAGCGCGGGUGGGUCUGACUGGAGGGAGAGAGAAACACUGAGCAAUGUGCAAGCGGAUCCCCUUCACUGACCUGACUCCUCUCUCACCAGAAUUCAGGUUCCCGUGGAUUGGAAUCUGCCUGUCUGGUUUCCCUGUCUUCCCACCACCUGCCUAGAGUCGUAGAUGGUUAUGGAACGAAACAACCAAGAAAGGAAAAAAGAUGAUAUGCCAGGCCAGACCCACCACCCAGGAUCCCAGAGGCCCAGGAGCUGACUCUGGAGGCCGUGGCAAGUGGGGUGCAUUUGGGUUGCAGCGGUCAACAGAUUGGAAGAAAGUUUGGAACUACUGGAGCAGGGGACCGAGGAGACACAUUGGUCCUUGCAGGGUAGUUGGUGGGGAACGAAAAGUGAAUGUUAGUCGCUCAGCCGUGUCUGACUCUUUGCGACCUCAUGGACUGUAGCCUGCCAUGGGAUUCUCCAGGCAAGAACACUGGAGUGGGUUGCCAUUUCCUUCUCCAGGGGAUCUUCCCAACCCAGGGAUUGAACCUGGGUCUGCUGCAUCGCAGGCAGAUUCUUAACCAUUGGAAGCAUCACGGAAGCCACCAGGGAAGCUGGUGGGGAGGUCAGCCUUAAUUGUCCUGGGGAAAGAGUCAGACACCCCCUGCCUCCUGCACUACAACAGGCUGUGGGGCCUGGUGGACAGGAAGAGUGCGCUCUGGACCGCCCAGGGUCCAGUCACUCCUGAGGACGGCUGACGGCCACACGGGGAGCAGAGGAUGACGGCUCUCCCUGUCCCUGCACCGCCUGGUCACCAUAGCUGAACUCCUUACCUAGGGAGAGAGAACCACUCAUCAUUGACUUUGGGGCUCCAGUUGGGACUGCAGAGGGUCUUGUAGUCUUGCCGGCACAAGCAUCUUCUUUCCUUGUAAAUAAGGCUUGCUUUGAGCCUUCCAAUAUGAUGGGCUGAUUCACUGUCAGAGGCAGAGCCAAGGGUGGGACACCUCCCAGGUGAGUGGGGGUCACCGGGCAGAGAGGGCAGAACUAUUCUGGAAAGGGGAACACAGAGAUCAGCGCCAAGCCCUGCUCAAGCAGCGGGUUUGACAAGAGGUUUAGGCUGGGUGGGGAAGGCUGGCUGCAGGACCCUCUCGGGGCUUCAUCCAGACAGCUCUGGGGCAUUUCAGAAAGAUGCCAGCUGGAGGAGGCCUGCAGAGGAGGGCAAGAGGCCCGAGGACCACACCCUGGGGCCUGUGGAAGGGUAGAGGGGGGCAGCUGUGCCACUGUUCUGCAGAAGGGACGAGAAGGGGCUCAAAGGGACAGAAAGAUUGAGGCGCUGCCCCAUUCCUGCUAGUGACCUGCCACCUCACCCCCAUUCCC
ensembl:lncRNA